UCGACUGGCUCGUCUAACGCCAAAAUGCAAAAACCGUACCCAGCGUCCUCGAGCGACCAGAAUCUAUUGCCAGUGAAGUCCUUACGCCUUGUUUGGCGGUAGCCGCGUGGCAUCCAUACUAGUGGCGACGGUGCAAAACAGUUCAGAGUCGCACUCUGUAUUUCCCCCCCACCGUCAAGCAGGUGCCGCUCGGGGCUACUUCACGGCCACCGACACACCCUACUGGAAAACGGCGUCAACCAGUUCAACGAGCGUUUCACUGAUCUUCUACGGGAGACCGAGGUCGAUGGACCCGAAACCUUUGAGUGAAGUCGUUUCCUCAGCGCCAGUAUACAGAAAACAGUAUUCUCGGGUGCUUCCGCCCCACAUUUUUUCUUGCUAGAGCAGUCACCCUUUUCCACGGGGCCGACACAGACCAGACCUUAACUGUGGAGCAGCUUUCCCAGCACUCGACUUUGAAAGGUCUCGGGCAAGCGUGGACGCUCUCACGAACGUCGGCGAACGCGCCGGCGGGUUCGUGCGCCCGACAGCAGACGGCGAGGCGGCUGUCCGGGCCAAUUCGCUAGCCCGAUCUCCGCUCGUAGAUGCCAGCGACGCCGGCCGCGGCCGUGGGAAUGGAAGACGAGAGGAAAAGGACGAGGGAUCAUGCGUCUCCGCCUCUGAGGCGGGGCGCUGUUUCAUCGCGGAAAAACGCUGGCGGAAAAAGCGAGACUGGGCCUUGGGCCCCUCCAUCUCGUCUGCCUCCUCGGCGAGCUGUUCCUGCCUCUCCAACUCUUCCAUAACAGCCCGGAUUCCUUUCGCCCGAAUCGCAUCGGAAACCCGUUCACUCCUGGAGCCGGCACAAGUCGACCCUUGCGCCCCAUGGAAGAUCUUCCCGUCUGACUGCCGCGCAGUCGCGCUUUCAGCACUCGUGUGGUAGACAACCCUCCCCCUUCCUCCUGCGCCAAUGCUAAUCCCUCGACGAAACUGAUCGGUUCCUUUUCCUCUGCCAAGCGCCGCGCCUGGCCCUCUGGACAGUGCUGAGCUGCCAGGACACCACGCGCCGGGAACCGUUCGGCGCAGGUGUGCCGACUCCCGAAAACUCCCUUUGGAUCCGUACCACCCCGACUCGCCCCGCGACUCGUCGUCUGAACAGUCGUUCUUCUCAAACUCCAGAGUGCCACAGGCGAGCGCCCCACCCUCGUCUUCCCCGACGACCGCCGCCAUGCCUCCUCCUGGGAAGCUCCGGGCUGGCCGCGCAGCAGACGAGACGCGCGUGCACCCCCGAGAAGCGAGAGAGGCAAGGAGACGCGCGGAGGGCGCAGCAGUGGAGAGUGCCUUUCCCAGAGAACCGCGGCCGUUGGCCUUUUCUGCUUCUCUUUGCUCGCACAAAUCACAACACCGCCAGGCAUCUGCGCUGGAGAUACCCGCGGACACUGGACUCAGGUCCGAUGCUCCUUCCUCUCCAUGUGAGUGGUUCUUUCGUUCCACCUCACGCUUGCCUGCCUCGGCCUCUCUGCAGUUCAUGCACGGGGUCGCCCUCUCGCUGGGAGACACCCCGACACACAGGCCGCCUGGGGGCCGUGGAGAAGACGGACCGGACGAGGGCGUGCCUUCGGGGCUCUCGGCACUGACUAGCUGGUCUUUUCUCUCUCGCUUGACGCCCCCGGGGCAGGACGUGACGUCCUGUUCCGUUGCCUCUCUGUUUCGCUUCCUCUCUGUCCCCUGCUGCGCUUCGCCACUGCCGCGUCGACCGGAGGGACCGGGUCCGGACGAACGCCGAGGCGGGAGACUCUCCCCAAAAAAGUUCAGAAUGCGUGCGCGCCGACAGACUGUUUCUUCGCAGUACUGUCGAACUUCUUUCAGCGACUCGAGGUCUUUUCGAUAGCGUCUCUCCAUAUGCUCCAGCCUUGCCUUGUGAUCGUCGACCGUCUCGGCUGUCUCUUCGCUUUCUUCCUCCGGUUUCGCUUCUCCCCCUCGACGGUUUCCAGUCCCCUUUUGGGGGCGCGCGCGGCCCUUCGGCUCCCCCUUCGCGUACAGCUUGAGCUGAGAGAACGUGUAGUCCAUGAUGUAACGCAGGCUCUCGAAAUUCCGAGGCGAGUAAUAGAGAAGCGCGUGGGCCGGGCGCCCGUCUCGGCCGCAACGUCCCGAUUCCUGGUAGUAGCCUGUUAAAGACAAAAGGCGAAGAAAGGCGAGAUUGAGUCGAGACCGAUCCGAGGUGUUGGAUACGUGAACUAAUCACGUUGCAUAAAUACAACCAGUGAAAGCUCCUUUAAGUUCCAUGAACGGAGCCGAAAGCCAAACGCGCAAAGGGAAAAUCUCGCACCUGACAGCGCCCCACUGCGCGCCCCUCAACCUUCAGGUGUCGACAACGGGGCGUCAGCGCCUGACGUCGAGUGCGGAAAGCACGCGAGCACGGAAAGACGCGCACGCUGCGCAUGGAGGAAGAACUCUCCAACUCGAGAGGCGAAAGGCCCGCAGAGCAAGAGAGACGAAAUGGAGUUGCGUUCGCCUCUGAGAGAACACCUGACACGUGUCCGGGCAACUCGCGAGACGUGGAGGCGACGGGAAGUUGCGAGGGCCAGAGAAGAAGGCCACCGCUGCGGGGUCUUCCUAACGGCUCGGCAGAGCUCCAGAUCCCCUCCUUUCGCCUUCAUUGUCCGUGCUCUGCAGAAAAGCCUAGGCGACGGGCUCUCUUCUUUGACUUGUUUCGUUUCCCUGGUGCCUCCUCUCUUCCCGGAACACCCAUGCGCGCCCCAGUCGCGUCCCGUUUCCUUGAUUUCUUGGGGUUCGCCAGUGGGCCGCCCUUUUGCGCCUCAAAACCUCUCCCGCCUCGUCGACACUGCCUCCCGUUUCCGGCUUCCGUUCUCACCUUCCAUCGUCUUGGGCAAGGAGUGAUGGAAGACGAAACGGACGUUGGGGUUGUCCACGCCCAACCCAAACGCCACGGUGGCGACGAGCACCAGAAUCUUCCCCGUCAUCCACGCUCGCUGGAGUUCACACCUAACCUUGUCGGAAAGGCCAGCGUGGUAAGCCUGAGCUGGAAUCCCCUUGCGCCGGAGGGCUGUCGCGACCUACAAAACAGACAAAACACUUUCCCUUCCAGGUGUCGCUCCUCUCCAGUGGUGGCCCGUUUCGCAUACAUGCACAUACGCAUGGAGGCUCAUGGACACCGAUAUAUCUAUAUAUGCCAGUAUUAUUAUAUAUAUACAUAUAUAUAAAUGUAGACGCAUAUGUCGUGUUGAGAGACAUGCGCGACCGAGCCGUGGUACCCGCGGAGCUGGAGUCCGGGGAAGCAGUUUCGCAGUCGUGUCUUUAACGCCGCGAUUGCUUUCCCACACCAUUCCGACGUGCCACAGUCUUUCGGGGCUGGCUGAGCGAGAAGAACGGCGCACGCAGUUUUGUUCCACGGAGAAUACUUGGAGCGCAUCACACGCUCGCAGAUACUACCCUUCGGGGUAGUUCCUGGUUCGUCGCCUGGGGAACUUUGUGGAUACGCUACAGGUCAGGUAGGACGACACCUCGAGUUGACGGCGAGGGCCACAUCCGCUCCUGUAUUCUCCAUCUGUAUGCUCUCGUAUCCCAUCCGUGUAGUCGGUACAAACGAGCAUAAAAGGAAGGUGACUGAGAGAGUCGUUGUCUCGCGCUGGUGAUUCGCGUGAUAACCGCCCCGUGAUGGCGGUCGUCCCCGGAAAGAAACGAACGGUCCCAGCCGAACUAGACAAAGACGCACACUGUCGCAGGUCGCUUUUUUGAAGCAGUACACGAUCCCGCACUCUCCUCGGUGUCGCGAUGCAACUUCUGCGCCCAUGUCUUCCAAGGUCCAGUCUUCCUCCUCCUCGGCGGCAGUCGCUGGGUCCCCUUCUAAUGCAGCCUCCUCGUCGUCCGCUUCGACAGGUCUCGGGCCGAGUCGCCUCUUCAUUCGCACCUCGUAAAAAAUGUUUUUCCUGGAGCGCAGCACGCGAAAGAAGCCGUUCGGCCGAACCCUGCGUUUGGUAACGUAGAUGAAUCUCCCACGUGAAAAAGAGAAACAACACUUAGCACGCAACCCAUCCACGACACGCCGCAACCUGUACAUUCUAUUUACAUUAUAUAUGUGCAUGCACAUAUGCGGAGAAGCCUCGUAGGUGGAGCUAGAGAGUUUAGCAGGGUCGUGGCCUUGGCGAGCCUCGAUUCACCCUUGAGGAUUCAUCCACUGAACAGGCGCUUGCGGGUUCCUGACGCAGCGGCUCGGGGCGGAGAGAGUCGCCAGACCCCGUGUUCUGGAGACGAGGGGAACCGCGACACGAGAUGCGCGCUCGUGAUUGGGAAGCAAGAAAGCAUUCACGCAUUCGGGGAAGAGGCUUCCCGAGACGCGAAAAUGUGUCUCGUAUAUACAGGCCGGAGGGGGACGGCGAACCUGUCGAACGAAAGGCCAACUCGAACCGCGUCUCUCAACGCCAAGCUGGUUUGAAUGUCCGCACAAACUGCAGGAGUCGCCGUCGCUGUGCAGGCCAAGAGGGGAGUCUCCGGCAGAAUCGUGCGCAGGACUGAGAGGUUUCUGAAAAGCCGGGACAGGGGGCGAGACGUCGACGGAAACGAGGAUGCAGGGAAGAAGAGGGAGACGCAACCCCUCCGUCGGGGCAAGCGACAGACAGAGAAGAACGCGGAAGGCCGCGGAAAAGAGAGGAACGGAACGCCCCUCCAGUCCGUAAGGUAAGAGGUCCAUCACAGGGGGUA
rnacentral:lncRNA from 1 species